AAAGUCGUAACAAGGUUUCCGUAGGUGAACCUGCGGAAGGAUCAUUAACACGUAUCCAACGUAUCCACCCCCUGUGGUCCUGUGCGCGUCUAUACAUGGAGUGAUAGAAACCGCUUUGCUACCUGCGAGGUGCAAAGAAAGAUUUCAUGAUCGGGAAUCUGAGUAACCCGUGAGGUUAUUGGGACCCGAUUGCGAUUUCGGUGACUGUCAGCACUCUGCGAGAGGGCAGCUCUAUGUAGCAGACGUUUUAACCAACCAUUUAACCCAAACUGCUCUAACUUAGAAAUAAGUAUGGUGCGCCCUGCUUUAUUUCGACAUACGAAAUGUUACAACUCUUAACAACGGAUAUCUUGGUUCUC
rnacentral:misc_RNA from 1 species